AGAAGAUCCCACAUGGAGGACCUCACCCUCCCUGGGGAAUGGAAAACCCAUCAGCAAACAGCGAAAAGAUACUGAACUUACAGAUACCUAAAGAAGAGAGAAUGGCUACCCAAAGGACCAUCAAACCAACAAGGAUCUAAUGUUUGAGAACAAAGAAUUUCGUAACAGCACUCUUUAAAGUUGAUCCACCUGAUCCAACUUGAAGCAUCUGAACUGACAAAUACCACCUUGAAAACAGUUUGGGACUAUAUCACUCUACACAACUCCAGACUAAUUAACUGAUACAGUGCACCUUCUAUGACCUGGCCAGAGACUCA